rnacentral:rRNA from 1 species
GAAACCCACGGUUAACUCCUUCCCAGCAGCCGCGGUAAUACGUAGGUGGCAAGCGUUGUCCGGAUUUAUUGGGCGUAAAGGGAACGCAGGCGGUUUUUUAAGUCUGAUGUGAAAGCCUUCGGCUUAACCGAAGAAUAGCAUUGGAAACUGGAAGACUUGAGUGCAGAAGAGGAGAGUGGAAUUCCAUGUGUAGCGGUGAAAUGCGUAGAUAUAUGGAGGAACACCACUGGCGAAAGCG